CUGACAGCUUUGAAACACAAAGUCUUCUGUUUAUCCAUAAAACAUAUAUAUGAUUGCCACCAGCAAUUCUAAGUUCCCUUUAUGAAUGAACCUCUGUCUGCCCUUCUAGAGAGUGAGAAGAGGUUCAGAUCCCAGGCCCGUUCGAUUCUUGGCUCCU
rnacentral:sRNA from 1 species